rnacentral:rRNA from 1 species
GCCCCCCUCAAGAUAAGAUCUCCAUAUAAGGGUCGUCGAAGACUACGACGUCGAUAGGUUGCAGGUGCACGGGCGGCAACGUCCUCAGCCGAGCAAUACUAAUCACCCAAACCCUUUCC